GAGUUUGAUCCUGGCUCAGGAUGAACGCUGGCGGCGUGCCUAACACAUGCAAGUCGAACGGGUGCGCGGGGCGGAAGAUUUCGGUUGGAAGCCCGGCGCAUGAGUGGCGGACGGGUGAGUAACGCGUGGGCAACCUGCCCUGUACAGGGGGAUAACACCUGGAAACAGGUGCUAAUACCGCAUAACGGGGGCGGCCGCAUGGCCGCCUCCUGAAAACUCCGGUGGUACAGGAUGGGCCCGCGUCUGAUUAGCCAGUUGGCAGGGUAGCGGCCUACCAAAGCGACGAUCAGUAGCCGGCCUGAGAGGGCGGACGGCCACACUGGGACUGAGACACGGCCCAGACUCCUACGGGAGGCAGCAGUGGGGGAUAUUGCACAAUGGGGGGAACCCUAAUGCAGCGACGCCGCGUGGGUGAAGAAGCGCCCCGGCGCGUAAAGCCCUGUCAGCAGGGAAGAAGAAGGACGGUACCUGACCAAGAAGCCCCGGCUAACUACGUGCCAGCAGCCGCGGUAAUACGUAGGGGGCAAGCGUUAUCCGGAUUUACUGGGUGUAAAGGGGGCGCAGACGGCGAUGCCAGCCAGGAGUGAAAGCCCGGGGCCCAACCCCGGGACUGCUCUUGGAACUGCGUGGCUGGAGU
rnacentral:rRNA from 1 species